GCUCUGGGAUUCAGCUGGUGAGUGUGGACUGGAGCUUGGCUAAUAUGUUGAGCCCUGGAGUCUGCGUAGCAGCAGGCCUUUGCCCCUUGUGGGUGAGGGUGCGCGAUGCACUUACCAAGUGUUGUGCGCUCUGGGUGUUCAUCGAGCUGACUCGCCAGUGCACUUUCUCAGAGUGGUCAUCACGACCGGCACCGCUGUCUGGCUGGUGUGGUUAAACCGAUCUCGUAUUGUCCUUGUGGCUCUGCUUGGUCGGGAUGGCAGGUAGCUCGGUGAUUUGCCUGUGAUCUUCGGUCGCGGGCGCUGGUCAUUGAGUGUAACUGGCUGACCACAUUGGUUCUGUGCAGUGUGUCGGAGACGGCGGCUUUUGUGUGUGCGCGCGUGCCUGUCUGGCCGGCGUGUCCGGGUUUGGUCGUUUGUGCCUGUUCACGCAGGCCUGGCGAUGGCUCGGGUUCGUUCGGUUGGCGGUUGCGUGCGUGGCACAUUUAUUGGGCCAACAGUCUGUGAUGUAGUGGUAGACUAUCCACCUGACCCGUCUUGAAACACGGACCAAGGAGAGUAACAUGUGCGCGAGUCAUUGGGCGUUACGAAACCCAAAGGCGCAGUGAAAGUAAAGGUUUGGCUUGUCCAGGCUGAGGUGAGAUCCUGUCGUUUCUCAUGCGCGGUACCACCAAGCUACGAGCGGCAGGCGCAUCACCGGCCCGUCCCAUAACAAUUGUUUUCGAGCAGUACCCAGUGGGGGCGGAGCAUGAGCGUACAUGUUGAGACCCGAAAGAUGGUGAACUAUGCUUGCGCAGGUUGAAGCCAGAGGAAACUCUGGUGGAGGACCGCAGCGGUUCUGACGUGCAAAUCGAUCGCCAGACGUGAGUAUA
rnacentral:rRNA from 1 species